GUGCACCAGUCGAGAAACCUCCGCAAUGCACGCAAGUGCGACGGGGGAACCCCAAGUGCCACUCUUAACGGGGUGGCUUUUCAGAAGUGUAAAAAGCUUCUGGAAUAAGGGCUGGGCAAGACCGGUGCCAGCCGCCGCGGUAACACCGGCAGCUCAAGUGGUAGCCGCUUUUAUUGGGCCUAAAGCGUCCGUAGCCGGUCUGAUAAGUCUCUGGUGAAAUCCCACAGCUUAACUGUGGGAAUUGCUGGAGAUACUAUCAUGACUCGAGGUCGGGAGAGGCUGGAGGUACUCCCAGGGUAGGGGUGAAAUCCUGUAAUCCUGGGAGGACCACCUGUGGCGAAGGCGUCCAGCUGGAACGAACCUGACGGUGAGGGACGAAAGCCAGGGGCGCGAACCGGAUUAGAUACCCACGUAGUCC
rnacentral:rRNA from 1 species